AACGAACGCUGGUGGCGCGCCUAAUACAUGCAAGUCGAGCGAGAAGACGUAGCAAUACGUUUGUAAAGCGGCGAACGGGUGAGGAAUACAUGGGUAACCUACCCUCGAGUGGGGAAUAACUAGCCGAAAGGUUAGCUAAUACCGCGUACGCUCCUUGGACUUCGGUUCAGGGAGGAAAGCGAUACCGUGGGUAUCGCGCUCUUGGAUGGGCUCAUGUCCUAUCAGCUUGUUGGUGAGGAACGGCUCACCAAGGCUUCGACGGGUAGCUGGUCUGAGAGGACGAUCAGCCACACUGGCACUGCGACACGGGCCAGACUCCUACGGGAGGCAGCAGUAAGGAAUAUUGCGCAAUGGGCGAAAGCCUGACGCAGCGACGCCGCGUGGGGGAUGAAGGUCUUCGGAUUGUAAACCCCUUUCGGGAGGGAAGAUGGAACGAGCAAUCGUUCGGACGGUACCUCCAGAAGCAGCCACGGCUAACUUCGUGCCAGCAGCCGCAGUAAC
rnacentral:rRNA from 1 species